CUCGCAAAGAAGGUCACCAAUUGCUAUAUGUGUUAAAAAAAAAAAAAAAAAAAAAAAAAGCAGACACUGAAUAUCCCUUUGAGCAAGGUGAAGUUAUUAAUUAGGCUUCGGAUGGUGUAUCAAUACACCCAGUCACUACAAAAAUACAGGCGUCCUUCCUAACUAAGUUGCUGGAGAGGAAGGAACCCUCUCAGGGAUUUCACGAUGAGGCCAAUGGUGAUUUAAAAAUUAGAGAGUUUAAUGGCUUUGAUAGGAGAAAACUGAAGAUUGACCAACAACAUUGAAGUUACUCCACAAUAUUAACUUAAAUGACAGAUUGAAAAGGAAGCCUAUACAGAAAGUAUUACGUUUGGCGCAAAUCCAAUACAACACAUUACUGAGUACCACUCAUGAUGUUAUAGGUAUGAUUGUCAUCAGCAAGGUCUAGGGAGUUUUUUUUAAAGAAAAAAAAAACGGAAUAGAGCUAAGCACAGGCAAAAUAGUCAUAGAGAAAUACCUGGUUCUGUCUGCUUUCCAAGGUCGAAUCUAUACUGCGUUGCUUACCAAUACGGCAUUGAAUGUUCUUGAGUGGCCUAGUUACAGUUUUCACUUAAGUCUGCUUGAAAAUCUAGGGCAAGACUUGAAAAUUGCUGUCUAGCAAUGAUCAACAACCAACUUCACAGAGCUUGAAGACCUUUAAAAAUAACAAUGGGCAAAUAUCGUGCAAUCCAGGUUAGUGGUUGACCGAUUAAUCAGAAUGGCCAAUUUCAAGAUUUCAUAACAAUUGGAAAUCAGUAUUUUUGGACACCGAUUUGGCCGAUUUAAAAAAAAAAAAAAUUACACCUUUUAUUUCAUCUUUAUUUAACUAGGCAAGUCAGUUAAGAACACAUUCUUAUUUUCAAUGACGGCCUAGGAACGGUGGGUUAACUGUCUCGUUCAGGGGCAGAACGACAGAUUUUUACCUUGUCAGCUCGGGGGAUUCAAUCUUGCAACCUUACAGUUAACUAGUCCAACGCUCUUACCACCUGAUUACAUUCCACUCCACGAGGAGCCUGCCUGUUACGCGAAUGCAGUAAGCCAAGGUAAGUUGCUAGCUAGCAUUAAACUUAUCUUUAAAAAAACAAUCAAUCAAUCAUAAUCCAGUGGUGGGCCGUCAGGGCCUGCAAGGCCUUCUCUGCUGGCCUAAACAUCAUCAGAAUAUAAUUUUUUUUAAAAUAUAUUUUCCCACAAAUAUGUAUUAAAUUAUUCCCCAGAGUAAGAGUUAUACUCUUCAUUUCAUAGCUUUCCUCUUGGUUGCACUGCUUCCAGCCCCAGGUUGAGAUUUGGAGGGCUGGUCUUUGUGUUAGAUCUUUUAUCCAAUCAUAUUCUGCCAUCAUGUGUUGCCAGGGGUCUAAAAUCUGCCCUCAGGCCUUCAGAAUCAACAGUGCGGGCGCUUGUAGCUUAUAGUGAAUGGAAAUGAAAAUUUAGUGUCAACCAAUCAGCUUUAGAGUUGGCUAUUGUACGCCUGCUGGCUGGCUCCAGUGUUACACAGGAGCCAGCUAGCAGGCGUAGUGCGUGCACGUCUUUUGAUUGGAUUACCAAUAUUGAGAGGCAGGUCCUAUGGAGAUCUAGGAAACUGAAUUUGAUAAACGAAUUAAUUCGCGUACUACUAAGCUGUUUUUUCAACCCACAAUGGAGGAAGGAGGAGAAGAUAUCGAUUUGAUUGAGGAUAUAAUUAUAACGCCAUUCUCAAGACUAACUUUUCAAGAAAAGUUAGACAUUGUAAGGAGAGGUCGCCCGACGCCACAAAGCCUGUCACAGGCGGGAAAGGGCUUCGUUCGCUCGCCACUUUCAAAGUUUCAACUACGAGUUUUGUCAAUGGCUCACAGGCUCCUUGGCUCCGAGAAGCACUGCAAACUGUACUGCUGGGAAUGCCUAUUAUUUGCAAGUGAUCGAUUUGGUGUUUGGAGCCACACUGGCUUUGCAAACUUGAGUUGUCUAACCAAGCCAUCAACGAGACACCAAAGUACGGCUGGGCACUAACAAGCAAUGGUGCUUUUGAAAACUUUUGGGGACACCGGAGUGGAUCUACAGCUCAAAGAACAAGCGCGCAGGGCAACGGAGCUGCACAAUGAAAAGGUGAAGGGAAAUAUUGAAAAGACUCAUUGAUUGUGUCAUGUUUCAAUUUGUCAAUUUCAAGGUGACGCAACGCCUGGUUAUACUGCGUUUCUGUCUAAAUGUAUAGUGUCUAGAGCCAUGGCAUCAUAAUGAUGGUAAUAAGAGGUGGAUUAAUUCGGGUGGGACUGUGUAGUACCUCACUGAAGGCCCAGGCCCCAGGCCCACGGCACGCCACUGUCAUAAUCACUAGUUAACUACACAUGGUUGAUGAUAUUACUAGUUUAUCUAGCGUGUCCUGCGUUGCAUAUAAUCGAUGCGGUGCGUAUCGUUGCUCCAAUGUGUACCUAACCAUAAACAUCAAUGCCUUUCUUAAAAUCGAAAACCUCCCUGUUCUUUGUGGUUGAAUCUGUGCUUGAAAUUCACUACUCGACUGAGGGACAUUUUUACUCUUUGGAACUUAUGAUAAACAUAAAAACAAAACAAAAAUGAAUAAGUCAAUUGGUGUGAAUACUUUCUAAGGCACAGUAUAUACAGUACAUAUAGCCUAGAAUAAGUGCAAUAUGAUAAGAAGUGCAAAUAUGCAAGUUGUUGUGCAAAAUCCAAGAUACAAAAUCAAAGACUGAUAAGGCAGCAAGGUUACAUCAUUCACCACAGCUACACUAAGUAUGUGGACACCCCUUCAAAUGAUUGGAUUCAGCUAUUUCAGCCAUACCUUUUGCUGACAGGUGUAUGAAACCGAGCAUGCAGUCAUGCAAUCUCCAUAGACAAAUAUUGGCAGUAGAAUGGCCUGUACUGAAGAGCUCAGUGAAUUUCAAUGUGGCACCGUCAUAUGACAACAAGUCUGUUUGUCAAAUUUCUGCUCUGCUAAAGCUGCCCCGGUCAACUGUAAGUGCUGUUAUUGUGAAGUGGAAACAUCUAGGAGCAACAACGGCUCAGCCACUGUGUGGUAGGCCACACAAGCUCACAGAACGUGACCUCCGAGUGCUGUAGCAUUUUCCAAUCGCUAGUCCUUGGUUGCAACACUCACUACCGAGUUCCAAACUGCCUCUGGAAGCAACGUCAGCAUAAGACUGUUCUUUGAGAGCUUCAUGAAAUGGGUUUCCAUGGCCGAGCAGCCGCACGCAAGCCUAAGAACACCAUGCGCAAUGCCAAACAUCGGCUAGAGCUGUGUAAAGCUCGCCGCCAUUGGACUUUGGAGCAGUGGAAACGCGUUCUCUGGACUGAUGAAUCACGCUUCACCAUCUGGCAGUCUGACAGAUAAAUCAAGGUUUAAUAAAGGUUAGAAUAAUGGUCUGGGACUGUUUUUCAUGGUUUGGGCUAGGCCCCUUAGUUCCAGUGAUGGAGAAGAACUUGACUGGCCUACACAGAGCCCUAACCUCAACCACAUCGAACACCUUUGGGAUGAAUUGGAACUCCGACUGUGAGCAAGGCCUAAUCACCCAGCAUCAGUACCGAACCUCACUAAUGCUCUUGUGGCUGAAUGGAAAUCCCCUCAGCAAUAUUCCACCUUCUAGUGGAAAGCCUUCCCAGAAGAGUGGAGCCUGUUAGAGCAGCAAAGGGGGGACCAACUCCAUAUUAAUGCCCAUAAUUUUGGAAUGAGAUGUUCGACGAGCAGGUGUCCACAUACCUUGUGUUAACAUAAUCUAUGAGCUGCUUUUGGUUGGAAUUUGUGGAGGGUGAUGGCUAUUAGGUAUGUUGUUCAGGCUUCUGAGAAAUUGUAAUGAUCUUGCUCUUGUUGAAGAUAAGUGAAAUAACACGCAUAUGACAUAUUACAUUGUGUACUAAUGUUGCAUUUUUGUGUUUUCAAUAGAUUUGUUUAGAUGUGUUUCAGACAAAGUGACAGCACAUUGUAAUAAAAGGAUUUCACUUGACAAAAAGUACACGUUGAAGAUUGGGCACCAAGACGACACUGUUUACAAAGGAAACAAGAAAGAAAUAGAAGAGUUGAGCAAAUUCUACCUUAAAGAGGAAGUGAAGAUGGUAGUGAUUGGUGUAAUAGAUGGUUUUGAUGAGUGCGAGGCAGAGAGUGGGCAACUGUUGAUUUUGGUAGGUGAGGACUGGAAGGUGUAUGCUUACGAGACAGAGUGUCUUCAUCUGGUUGCAAAGAGUAUGGAAAAUCUGUUUGAAUCAGGGCUGAAUUACCCAGGAAUCAAAACCUUCUACCGUGGCCAGUGUUUUGCAGACAUGGUAAGAUCAAAACUGAUUAGCGAUGUAUGUGUCUACCUUAUAAUUAAGUUUCAAGAGGGAUGUUUUCAGACAAUUAUUUGAAAGUAGAGGUUUAGUGGCUAAACCACAAAGGACAGGCCACUAAUGUAACAACUAUUUAAAUGCACUUUUUCAGACACCAGAAGAAUGGUCUGAUGUUGAACGUGACAGUGAUGAGAUGCAGAAAAAAGAGGAUGCACAUAAGUGUUUCCUGAAGUCAACAGAAGAAGAAUUUCUGAAAAACCUUGAAAUCAUCCAACGCAGAUCAUGCAGGAAAAAAAAGAUGCCAGAGAAGCAGUGUGAAAGAGCUACAGUAGAACACUCCAAAAAGAAGCUGCGUUCUAAUUGUGAUCAACUGUGUUUAUCCUCUUUGAUAUAAGAUAGGUGUUCCCUAUGACACUAAUGAUGUUGAGUAACCAAAAUGUUUAUCUAUUGCACUCUUCAUGCACCUUUUGCAUAUAUUUAUAUUGCAAAUUAUAUAUAAUGCUCAUCAGUAUGCUGGUAUCUAUUUGCAUUGACCCCUUUGUUCAUGCUGCUGUUACUUAAUGUUUAUAAUUAAUGCAUAGUCACUUUACCCCUACCUACAGGCACAUAUUACCUCAAUUACCUAAACUAACUUAUAAUGUUACUUAAUUUUUUUAGCAAAUAUUUUAUUUUACUCUGCAUUGUUGGUUAAGGGCUACACCUGUUGUAUUUGGCACAUGUGACAAAUAACAUCUGAUUUGACUGAAGCAGGUUUUCCUGUAGGAUUUUGUCUGUUUCCUGUUUCUUUUUAUACUGAAAAACUCCCCAGUAUUUUCCCAUGUCAAGCAUACCCAUACCAUAAUGCAGCCACCAUGUUUGAAAUUAAGGAGGCAGUUACUCAGUGAUGUGUUGUGUUGGAUUUGCCCAAAUAAUACAGUGCAUUAUGAAAGUAUUCAGGCCCCUUGACUUUUGUCACAUUUUUUUACGUUACAGCAUUAUUCUAAAAUGGAUUAAAUAAAACAAUGUCCUCAUCAAUCUACACACAAUACCAUUUAAUGACAAAGCAAAAACAGGUUAAGAAAUUUUAGCAAAUGUAAUACAAAUAAAAACAGAAACAUCUUAUUUACAUAUGUUGUAUUCAGACCCUUUGUUAUGAGACUCGAAAUUGAGCUCAAGUGCAUCCUGUUUCGAAAGCUUGAUUGGAGUCCACCUGUGGUAAAUUCAAUUGAUUGGACAUGAUUUGGAAAGGCACACAGCUGUCUAUAUAAGGUCCCAAAGUUGACAGUGCAUGUCAGAGCAAAAACCAAGCCAUGAGGUCGAAAGAAUUGUCCGUAGAGCGAGGCACAGGUCUGGGGAAGUGUACCAAAAAAUAUCUGCAGCAUUGAUGGUCCCCAAGAACACAGUGGCCACCAUCAGAAGUUUGGAACCACCAAGACUCUACCUAGAGCUGGCCACCCGGCCAAACUGAGCAACCGAGGGAGAAGGGCCUUGGUCAGGGAGGUAACGAAGAACCCGAUGGUCACUCUGAUAGAGCUCCAGAGUUCCUCUGUGGAGAUGGGAGAACCAGAAGGACAACCAUCUCUGCAGCACUCUACCAAUCAGGCCUUUAUGGUAGAGUGGCCAGACAGAAGCUACUCCUCAGUAAAAGGCACAUGACAGCCCGCUUAGAGUUUGCCAAAAGUCACCUAAAGGACUCUCAGACGAUGAGAAACAAGACUCUCUGGUCUAAAUGCCAGGCUUCAUGUCUGGAGGAAACCUGGCACCAUCCCUAUGGUGAAGCAUGAUGAGCGAGGCACAGGUCUGCUGUGGGGAUGUUUUUCAGCGGCAGCGACUGGGAGACUAGUCCGGAUUGAGGGAAAGAUGAAGGGAGCAAAGUACAGAGAGAUCAUUGGUGAAAACCUGCUCUAGAGCGCUCAGGACCUCAGACUGGAGCAAAUGUUCACCUUCCAACAGGAUAACGACCCUAAGCACACAGCCAAGACAACAAAGGAGUGGCUUCGGGACAGGCCUCUGAAUGUCCUUGAACCCGAUCUAUGGAGAGACCCGAAAAUAGCUGUGCAGCAAAGCUCCCCAUCCAUCCUGACAGAACUUGAGAGGAUCUGCAAAGAUGAAUUGGAGAAACGGCCAAACCUGUUUUCGCUUUAUCAUUAUGGGGUAUUGUGUGUAGGUUGAUGAGGGGGUAAAAAUGUUUUAAUCCAUUUUACAAUAAGGCUGUAACAUAACAAUAUGGAAAAGGUCAAUGGGUCUGAAUGCACUGUAAGGCUUUGCAUUUAGCCCAAAAAGUCUAUUCCUUUGCUGUGUUUUUUUGUUGUUGAGUACCGUAAUUGCUGGACUAUUAAGCGCACCUGAAUAUAAGCCGCACCCACUGAAUUUAAUUUUUUUAUUUAUUUUGUACAUAAAUAAGCCGCACGUGUCUAUAAGCCACAGGUGCCUACCGGUACAUUGAAACAAAUGAACUUUACACAGCCUUUAAACGAAACACGGCUUGUAACAAAAAUAAAUAGGCUUUAACGAAACACGGCUUGUAACAAAAAUAAAUAGGCUUUAACGAAACAGGCUUGUAACAUUUUCUUUUUUUAAAUAGCAGUAAACAAUAGCCUACCAAGAAAGUCCUUGGUCACUAUCUUCCUCCUGUGCACUGAAACCACUGAAGUCAUCUCCUUUGGUGUCGGAGUUGAAUAGCCUCAGAAUUGCUUCAUCCGAUGUUGGAUCGUUUUCAUUGUGCUCUCCUCACUUUCAUCCGGAGGCAAACUCAUCCAAGCCUCAUUUUCUAAUUCGGGCCAUCUGCUUUUCUUUCCUCUGAAAAAUGUUGUUGUCUUUUUGCACUAAGUCAGUUUCUCACGCUGCUGUUUCCAACGUCUUAUCAUCGACUCAUUAAGGCUCCCGUGCAGCAGCACUAUUUCCUUUUCCAACAGCCAGAUCGAUCGCCUUCAAAUUGAAAGCUGCAUCAUAUGCAUUUCUCCGUGUCUUUGCCAUGAUGAGGGUGACAAAAUGACUACCGUAAUCAGAAUGAUGGAAGUUUGAGCGCCCUCGAUUUACAUCACAUUAUGUGACGGUGCUCAGUUUUUUGGCGGCAUGAAUUUGUGAAAGCGGGAAAAAUCCAUAAAUUAGCCGCGUCAUUGUAUAAAGCGCAAGGUUCAUAGCGUGGGAAAAAAGUAGCGGCUUAUAGUCCGGAAAUUACGGUAUUACUUUAGGGCCUUGUUGCAUGUUUUGGAAUAUUUAUAUUCUGUAUAUUUGUAUUAUUUUCACUGUCAUUUAGUUUAUUAUUGAGAGUCACUACAAUGUUGUUGGUCCAUCCUCAGUUUUCUUCCAUCACAGCCAUUAAACUAUGUAGCUGUUGUCACCAAUGGCCUCAUGGUAACAUCCCUGAGCAGUUUCAUUCCUGUCCUGCAGCUCAGUUCAGCAGGAUGACUAUCUUUGAUGUGUCUGGGUGGUUUAAUAUAUAAUCUACAGUAUAAUUAUUAACUAUACCAUGCUUAAAGAGAUAUUCAAUGUCUGAUUUGAUAUUGUUACCCAUCUACUAAUCACUGACCUUCUUUAUGAAGCUUUUGAAAAAGCUCCCUGGUCUUUGUAGUAUAAUCUGUGCUUGAAAUUCAAUACUUGACAUGCAGAGAACCUUAAUAAAAAGGUUCCUGGAGGCACAUUCAGGGUUUCCCCUGGUGUAGCAAUGGAAGGAACCCCUAAAGGAUCCUCCAGGAAUCUUUUCUUUGUAAAGUGCUCUUUGUAAAGCAGGUUUUUGUGUAUGUAAGGUGCUAUACAAAUAAGUAUUUCUGUUAACUUUAAAAUAUCUAUUUUUUAUCACAUUUGAUGAACCUCUCCCACCCCUGAUCUCAAGUAAACCCCUGGUGGGAAUCGAAUAGUGUACCAUUUCGGUUAGCUGGAACUUAAAGUUCACUAAAGUGCAUAUGGCAGAAAAGUAAAAAAAUCUGUCAUACUCAAUUAUGACGGACUGUUAGAUUAAAAAGUCAUUAUAUUAUAAUAACACUAACAAUGUUUGGAGAUUUGAAUUAUGUAUUACACCACUGUCGCAUUUAGUUUUUUUGCACUGAGAGCCCUUAUCAUUUUCUCUCCUUGAUGUCAGAAAUACUGCUUGUAUUCUUACUUCCCCUCUAGUGAGGGACUAAAAUUCAUACCUGCGAAACGUGGGGAGUGGAAUCUCUGGCCAUGUGGGUGGGGCUUCAGCUAAGGAAAUUCAGCUCGUGCAAUAUGUUGCCAACCUUGUGGACAACCACUCCUACAUGGUGUCAUGUGAUUAUUAUACACUUGACAGUUCACAUCAACUUUGUGGCAGGCUACACACGUCAAUCCUCGCAGAGAACAUGGCUGAUACAGUAAGAAUCUUAUUUAUCUGGUUGAGUUGUGAUAAUUAGAAGUUUAAUUUAAUGUAAAUUACAAUUUGUUGUAAUAAAGGUCAUCAUCUUUUCUGUUGCACUUGCAGAGGUUUUUGGAAAGGUAAGCUGCUUAAAGUUUUCACACGAUAUAUGUAUAAUUUUGAAAAUGUACAGAUGACAUUGUAAAAUGUUAUAUUAGCAUUGAACAACUAUCUUUUAAUAUGAUCAAAUGAAAAUAACCAGUUAUCUGAAAAGUUGUCAUUAGCUGUUAGACAGAAGCAUCUUGUUACAAAAAUCAAACAGGCUAAUAAGUUCAUGAUCUUGUAACUUGUUUAAUUAAGAGAAAUCAUUGAAUUAAGAGAUUUUCCCACAGAGUAAUGCUUUCAUAAAAUGACAAAGUGGUCGAAUCAAGAAUGAUCAGAUGGGAAUUUUCUGAAUAUGAUGUUGACUAUCGCAGGGCAGAAGAAUUUCAAAGUGAGGACGGUUUCCAAGGAAAUGCAGCAAAAAUAAUUUGCAAAGUGGUGGAAUUUUGUGCAAAAAACAGAAAUUUGCACAUCAUAACAUUAGCAGAAGAGGUAUGUAUUGCAUGUUAAUUGUGAUCGAAUUUCUCUAUCUACUUCCCCAAAGUCAGAUGAACAAGUGGGUAACAAUAAAUUGUAUGUAUCUAUGUGCAGAUUGAAGGAAGUCACUAACUAGCGUAAGCACAAUUGUUAACUAGUGUUAGCGCAAUGACUGGUAGUCUAUGGGAACAGAGAUACACAAAAAUGGUAUUCACGAGUUCAUCAGACUCUGGGGAAGUAGAUAAAUGGCCUCAUUGCCAAAAUGACCACUAUCCCUUUUACGCUUUAAAAGUACGGACUCAGACCUUCAUAAUGGAUAUCAUACACUGUAGUUGGAGGAAACAUGGGAUAUUAUGUUGCUUUGAAAAUAAAUAAAGUUGUUAUCCCACACUAAAGGAAACAAGUAGUAAAAAUGCUCUUGAAAGGUUUUCACACUUGUUCGAGAGCUCUUGUUUGUGUACGCCUAUUCAGUGUCAUUCACACCCUCCUAAGCCGCAGCCCCACCCAUGUCUUUAAGAAUUCAAAUGUUAAUGCAUGUGAGUCAACAGUAAUAGCUUUUUGCUAAAAAGUUAUUUUUGUCAAUUUGAAUGAAAAACUAUUACAGUAAGGUACUUAACUGUUACACAGACAUGAUUUUGUAUUGAUAUAAAAACAGCUGCAAUGGGCCUUUAACACAGCAGUGUCCACGAAAACAUUUGGGGUUAUAAUUAAUUAAUUAAUUAUUAAUUAACUUUGUGUUUUCAAGAUGCUUCAUAGCAUCUUUUUCCUAGGUAACAUACAUGUACGAAAGUGCUCUCCGGAAAUGAUCUUGUCAAGCGGGAUGCUGGAGAGAGUGAGGGAAGUGUUUCCGAGACCACUGGCGAGUUACAGCACGGAACUGCCUCGUCGGACACCCUUCUCCUGUCUACUAGAUAUGGUUGUCACCCUAAGGACAGAAGAUGACACAGAAGAUGAUAUCAAAAACCAUCUGUCCAAUCUCAUCACAAGAUUGGGUUUGGUUGGUGAUCACAACUUGAUCGCGGCAACAAUAUGCGUCUCCUACUACACUGAUGACCAACAUAAACCGAUGUUUCAUUACUAUGGGGCAUCUUUGUCCAGCACUGGGUACAAGGAACGAAAGAUCCUGAUUGCCUCAUCUUGUGUACACACAUGGCACCAUUAUGUGUCACUUGCUGUUAUGGAAAAAACACCUGUAACAUUUAUAAGGCCAGUGAGAUGCAGAGCUUUUAGUGUGGAUAGCAUCCAUACAGAAAAGCCACCUUGUAAACCCUGCCGUGAGCUCUUCAAGCUCGAGCACGCAGAUCCUCCGACUGGCAACAACAUCUAUGGUAAUUGUGCUGAGGUGGAGAGCCUGAGCAAAUUACUCGGGAAUGAAGACGAACGGCUCAGAAGGGUAAGAGAUCGUACGGGAAUAAAAAAAAAGGCAAUAAAAACCUUGUCAAACAGAUUGAAAGAGUUUGGUCUUGUGUCCUAUAAUGCCGACAAAGUGUUUCGGCCUCCACCUACCAGGAGGAUAUAAUAAGGCAUUUUGCUAUUUUUCACAAAUAUAACAUUUGAUGUAUCCUAUUUAAAUUGUUUGCCUUACAAGUUAAAUUAAGUAUACCCCUAUAUGUGUAUACCCCUAUUGCUUUGAAAGGUUUUCUUUUGUAUACCUCUUUAUAAGUCACAUUAAAAUGUGUUUUUCCUCAUUUUCACUAUUUGUUUUCAUUCUAGUUGACUCCGUAAACAUAAUAUAAGAAUGUAAAACAUUGUUAGUCUGGUCUGGGUCUCUGUCUACAAAAAAUAUCAGAUUCAAAUGAUAGUUUUUCUUUGCAAUGAUUGUAUUAUAAUUUUUUUUACUGUAAGAAAUGUUUGCCAUCAAUCCCAUAGUCAGCACUACUGGCUAAUUAAAGUGCUGUAGAUCAAAGAUGCACACUUUAAUAUUUGUAUGUAUUACUCUGUAUCUUGCUUGUCAUUUUACAUUGUUCAGUAAGUGCUCAUUUCAGAAGUGCUUUUGGCUACUAUGUUUUCUA